rnacentral:rRNA from 1 species
UUGGAGGCAGCAGUGGGGAAUUUUGGACAAUGGGCGCAAGCCUGAUCCAGCCAUGCCGCGUGAGUGAAGAAGGCCUUCGGGUUGUAAAGCUCUUUCGGUGGGGACGAAACGGUUCGUGCUAAUACCACGAACUAAUGACGGUACCCGAAGAAGAAGCACCGGCUAACUACGUGCCAGCAGCCGCGGUAAUACGUAGGGUGCAGGCGUUAAUCGGAAUUACUGGGCGUAAAGCGUGCGCAGGCGGUUUGCUAAGACAGAUGUGAAAUCCCCGGGCUUAACUUGGGAACUGCGUUUGUAACUGGCAAGCUAGAGUGUGGCAGAGGGGGGUGGAAUUCCAAGUGUAGCAGUGAAAUGCGUAGAUAUUUGGAGGAACACCGAUGGCGAAGGCAGCCCCCUGGGCUAACACUGACGCUCAUGCACGAAAGCGUGGGGAGCAAACAGGAUUAGAUACCCCCGUAGUCCG